rnacentral:lncRNA from 1 species
UGAACUUUCUAUGGCUGGUAAGAUGUCUAACCUCAAUCUUCUAGCAGCCGGUGCUCGUUGGCCUCUCGUCUCUACUCAGCUGCUGAAUGUAUGAAAUAGAUGGCUAAAUAUUUAAUUUAUUGGUCCCUUCUAGAUGGUAGUGAUGUGGAGACACAAGAGAUUGUCUAGCAUAUACAUAUAAAUAAAAUUAUACAUUGAUCUUUCUUAUCUCUGCCAGUGAUCAGUGAACUAUUGUUCUAGAUGUACACCUACUGUGUUGCAUAUUUCGCCAUCAUUCAUGGUGGCCUAUAGCUCUUCUCGUUUACCAUAGGAGUAGUACCAAUCUUUGGAAUGCUCCUAAUUUGGGUAAAUUUUGAAACAUUUAUGGAUGGGUCAAUUUAUGGACUUGUUCCUUUAUUACGUAAUUGUAUAGCUCAUGAUCUUAUAUAGUUUAGGGUUGUUUAUCCUAUUAUUUAUGCAUGAAGUUAAAAGCUAAACAUGGCAAAUGACACAAGUGAUUUGUUAAAAUAUAUCACGGAAGAAAGUACUUAUUUUUUGUUUCUACUUUUUCGAUGACAACUGGGAAGUUUCCUAUGUAUGGAGCAAGUUGUGUUGGUUCAACUUCAAAGUGGUAUAAGAAACUUGCAGUUCUUUUAUUUUAGUUAUAUCUUGUAAGCUAUAGAAAAUAG